GUGAUUUUAGUUUAAUUAAAAUAAUGGUUUGUCUAACCAUAGAUGAUUGUACAUCAAAUUACU
rnacentral:tRNA from 1 species